rnacentral:piRNA from 1 species
UACCAUGUUGAAUACACCGGUUCUCGUC